rnacentral:other from 1 species
CAUUGUACGGACGCAACAGUCGAUAGGAUAUUGGCUGCAAAGGAAUGACAAUGGACACCUUUAGGAUAAAGGUUAGGAACAACAUCAGGAUGAUGUAAGGGAUACCGCUCAAGGAACAAGUGACGUGAGUUAGCUAGGAUUUGCUAACUGUCAGGAUGACUAGGACACCGCUAGGAUGGCGAAGUAAAGGAAAGAGCUGAAAGAAUCAGCCACUAUUACGGACGAUGCAUGGAGCAUAAACAAGUAGCCGGAUCGCUGCGGGUAAGACUACAGCCCUGAUACCUCGGUAUCAGGGCUUUCUUAUAUU